GGGCGAUUAGCUCAGCUGGUUAGAGUGCCGCUUUGACAUGGCGGAGGUCAGUAGUUCGAUCCUACUAUCGCCCACCA
rnacentral:tRNA from 1 species